rnacentral:rRNA from 1 species
GGCGAACGCUGGCGGCGCGCUUAACACAUGCAAGUCGAACGAAGAGCGAUGGAAGCUUGCUUCUAUCAAUCUUAGUGGCGAACGGGUGAGUAACGCGUAAUCAACCUGCCCUUCAGAGGGGGACAACAGUUGGAAACGACUGCUAAUACCGCAUACGAUCUGACCUCGGCAUCGAGGAUAGAUGAAAGGUGGCCUCUAUUUAUAAGCUAUCACUGAAGGAGGGGAUUGCGUCUGAUUAGCUAGUUGGAGGGGUAACGGCCCACCAAGGCGAUGAUCAGUAGCCGGUCUGAGAGGAUGAACGGCCACAUUGGGACUGAGACACGGCCCAGACUCCUACGGGAGGCAGCAGUGGGGAAUCUUCCGCAAUAGACGAAAGUCUGACGGAGCAACGCCGCGUGAGUGAUGACGGCCUUCGGGUUGUAAAGCUCUGUUAAUCGGGACGAAAGGCCUUCUUGCGAAUAGUUAGAAGGAUUGACGGUACCGGAAUAGAAAGCCACGGCUAACUACGUG